UGACCAAAACGGCUGAAAAACGAUCAUAUCCCUAUUAUCUGACGGGCCCGUUUCUCUGGAGUACCCAGUGUCUAAACACAACACUAUUUUGCGCCAAUGCCCUAGCCUGAUACGACCCGUGAAAGCCUUACAAAUAGCGGGGAGCAUAGUUGCGGUUGGAAUGGAUUAGUCUGUUUCGUAAAAUGGGAAUCACUGGCGAUGUUGAAACCCAUGUAUUCCUUUUUCUUUUAGUGGGAAAGAUUUUUCGCUACACCACCAAAGGCGUUACAGGGUUUGGCGAAUUUUCAAGAGUAAUUUCAUCCUUUCUGGUCUAACGGAAAGGAACUACCGAGUUCUUCACCGUUGAGCCACAAAUAGCUAAAAGGAAUCUAUCGCAAUGGGUCGACGCACUUGCAAAGUUGGCCAAAAAAGUCUGGCGUUUCUCCACCGGUCUAAGACCUUUACCAGGGGAAAGUUUCUUAUCUGCGACCUACAAGAGUAAACGACACUUUUACAUGUUGGAUCCACGCUUCUUAGGGACAGACGAUGCGCUCAAAGACCUCCGAGUGGCGUCCUUGAACACGGGGUAAGUUCACGGCAUUUAUCGUUGCAUGAGGGUUAAAUAAUUUGGAAAUUCACAUAACUUCAUUCAAAAUUAUGUCUUCACAGGUUGUUUGGUGUUGGAAACCUGGACGGAGACGUAUUCAAAACUUUUCAGGUU